GAGCCAAAUCAUGUAAUCCCUCCA
rnacentral:siRNA from 1 species